rnacentral:lncRNA from 10 species
UGGGGCCGUGCGGACGAAGAUUCUGCCAGCAGUUGGUCCGACUGCGACGGCGGGAGGCCUCGGGGAGCCCCUCGGGAAGGGCGGCCCGAGAGAUACGCAGGUGCAGGUGGCCGCCGGAUCCCAGCCGCACUGUGGGAAGACAGAUAGGGAAGCUGGUCACCCACAGGCCUACCGUUUUCCAGGAACGAGGGUGCCCAUUUCCCCUAACACGCCAAGCUGGAUCUCACCACGGCGGCGGCGCCUUUGCACAAGUUAUUUCCCCUACCAAGAGCAUUUCUCCGUGCGGGCGCGGUGGCUCACGCCUGUAAUCCCAGCACUUUGGGAGGCCGAUGCAGGUGGAUCACUUGAGGUCAGGAGUUCAAGACCAGCCUGGCCGAUAUGUGGCCAAUAUGGUGAAACGCCCGCUUCUACUAAAAAUACCAAAAAUUAGCUGGGCAUGGUGGCUGGCGCCUGUGAUCCCAGCUACUCGGGAGGCUGAGGCAGAAGAAUGGCUUGAAUCGGGGCGGUGGAGGUUGCAGUGAGCCAAGAUCGUGCCACUGCACUCCAGCCUGGGCAACAGAGGAAGACUCCCUCUCAAAAAAAAAAAAAAAAAAAAAAAAAAGGGCAUUUCUCCCCUUGAAUCUCCUGAAUCUCAGUAUGGCUGGCUCCUCCUCUUCCUUCCAGCCUGCCUAAAAUAGGAAGCACCCUAUUUUAUUUCCUUGUGUAUCAUUCAUAUUCCCUACUUAGAAUCUUAGCUUGGUUGACACUGUGCCUGGCACACAAUAGGUGCUUAGUAAAUACUUGAAGGAAUUAAUGUAUAUCUGAUAUUCAGGCAGCCUGAGAUUCCAACCAUGGCUCUGCUUUUCUUCUGGCAGUCAAAAACUUACUUGCUUCACUUAUUUAUUUAUUUAUUAUGGUCUUGCUGUUACCCAGGCUGGAGUGCAGUGGGGCACUCAUGGCUCAGUGCAGCCUCAAUCUCCUGGAUUCAAGUGCUCCUCCCGCCUCAGCCUCCUGAAUAACUGAGACUACAGGCACACACCAUCAUGUCUGGCUAAUUUUUUUUAAACAUUUUUGGUAGAGAUGGAUUCUCGCUAUACUGCCCAGGCUGCAAUGUUCUGGCCUAAAGCGAUGCUCCCACCUUGGCCUCCUAAAGUGCUGGGAUUACAGGUGUAAUCCCGAGAAAUGAAGAGUGCCAAACCCAUCACAUUCCAGACUACUGAGCCUCUAGGAAUCACAGCCCCUCAGGCUGGUACAAGUGUUAGGGAGACUGGGGAGACUGGGGUUUGAGGGUGCCUUAACCUAGUUGCUAGGCUUAGCAAGGGUGAGAGGUUUGCCGGAGUCACACGGCACAGAUGGGUUUAGGGCGGGCUAAGAGUGUGCCCCUCUGCCUGCCCCCUCCUGGGUCCCACCACAGCCCAGACCUCAUCCAGUGCCCUGCACCCCUGGAGCCUCCAUGGAGGGCACAGAGAUGGGGAAAAUACUCUCCUCCUCCCCUAACAAGUCGCUCGUUGCAUGUGACUUUAGCAGUGCCUUGACAAGCGAUUUCAUCAGAUUCAGAACCAGCUCCAGCUGGCUCUGCCCAUCACAAACUUCUAUCCAUGCACCACACCCCCAUUGUUUCUCUUGGAUCCUGGCCCCAGCCCAGGUCAGGGACCAUGCCCACACCGCACGCCCGACCCCGUCCCCGGGUUUCCCAGGUGCUGUGCACAUUCAGGAGGGUCCCUGGCAUCCCUGUACCUCAGUUUCCCCAUUUGCAACUUGGGGACAGGUUAUAACCUCCCACGUUGUGGGUGCAAAUCAGGCAUCGGCUACCCCAUCAGACCCAAGGGGAUCCAGGAUAUUCCUACCCAGGGCACAGAUGGGGCAACUGAGGCUCAAAGGUAGGUCUGGGCUUUUCAAGAUGAGGAAUCCCUGAUUAGAUAUGGGGGCUGCUUGGGGGGUGGGAGGGGAUCUCUAAGAUUUCACUUACCUUCUGGCGUGAGUAUCCGGACUGCAGGGGCCGGGACGAGGUCGGUGUUCGAAUCUUCCCAGCUCUGG